rnacentral:rRNA from 1 species
UUAAAGUAGUAAGGGCGCAGGGUGGAUGCCUUGGCACUAAGAGCCGAUGAAAGACGUGAUAAGCUGCGAAAAGCUUCGGGGAGGAGCACAUAUCCAAUGAUCCGGAGAUAUCUGAAUGGGGAAACCCGGCAGAGGAAACCUCUGUCAGCGUGCAGUGAAUACAUAGCUGUACGUGGGGAACCCGGGGAACUGAAACAUCUAAGUACCCGGAGGAAGAGAAAGAAAAUUUAUCGAUUUCCAAAGUAGCGGCGAGCGAAAUGGAAAGAGGCCAAACCGGAGUGCGUGCACUCCGGGGUUCGGACCGCAUUUAAGAUUCAGUGAUUCUAGCAGAAAGGUUUUGGGAAAGCCUGCCGGAGAGGGUGAAAGCCCCGUAAGCGAAAGGAAAACUGACAAGGCGGUAUCCAGAGUACAUCGAGACACGUGAAACCUUGAUGGAACACGCGGGGACCACCCCGUAAGCCUAAAUACUACUUAGUGACCGAUAGCGCAUAGUACUGUGAAGGAAAGGUGAAAAGGACCCCGGGAGGGGAGUGAAAGAGAACCUGAAACCCUGUGUCUACAAGCUGUGGGACCUCUUUAUAUGAGGGACUGCGUACUUUUUGUAGAACGGUCCGGCGAGUUGUGCGUACUGGCGAGGUUAAGGACUUAAGGUCUGGAGCCGAAGUGAAAGCAAGCGUUAAUAGCGCGUCAAGUCAGUGAGUGCAGACCCGAAACCGGGUGACCUAUCCAUGUCCAGGUUGAAGCUUCCGUAAGAGGAAGUGGAGGACCGAACCCACAUCCGUUGAAAAGGGUGGGGAUGAGGUGUGGAUAGCGGAGAAAUUCCAAUCGAACCCGGAGAUAGCUGGUUCUCCUCGAAAUAGCUUUAGGGCUAGCCUCAUGAGAGUCUUAUGGAGGUAGAGCACUGAAUUGCCUAGGGGGCGUCAAAGCUUACCAAAGCAUAUCAAACUCCGAAUGCCAUCAAGAUGAUUCAUGGGAGUCAGACCAUACGAGAUAAGUUGGGUGGUCAAAAGGGAAAGAGCCCAGACCUACAGCUAAGGUCCCAAAGUGCGUGUUAAGUGGAAAAGGAUGUGGGAUUUCGAAGACAACUAGGAUGUUGGCUCAGAAGCAGCCACACAUUCAAAGAGUGCGUAAUAGCUCACUAGUCGAGAGGUCCUGCGCCGAAAAUGUCCGGGGCUGAAACACAACACCGAAGCUUAGGAACGAGAGAUCGUUGGUAGAGGAGCAUUCUUAAAGGGGCGAAGCAGUACCGGCAAGGAGCUGUGGACUUUUAAGAAGAGAGAAUGCCGGAAUGAGUAGCGAGAUGGAGGUGGGAAUCCUCCAGGCCGAAUAUCUAAGGUUUCCAGAGUAAAGCUGAUCUGCUCUGGGUAAGUCGGGACCUAAGGCGAGGUCGAAAGACGUAGUCGAUGGAUAACAGGUUGAAAUUCCUGUACCGCAUAUAAACAGAACUGUGGGGACACAGACAGGGAAUGGAAUCCGGGAAUGGAUAUCCCGGUGCAAGCGAGGUAGGAGUGCUGUUGGCAAAUCCGCAGCACGAUCUGAAGACGUGACGCGUACCGAACAUAAGUAGGGAAGUCCAGGCCCCUGGCUGUCAAGAAAAGCCGCUAUCGUUUUAUAUGUGCCCGUACCGCAAACCGACACAGGUGGAUGAGGAGAGAAUCCUAAGGCCGACGGGAGAAGCAUUGUUAAGGAACUCGGCAAAAUGACUCCGUAACUUCGGGAGAAGGAGUGCCAUGUAAAAGUGGCCGCAGAGAAUUGGCCCAAGCAACUGUUUAGCAAAAACACAGGUCUAUGCAAAACCGAAAGGUGAAGUAUAUGGGCUGACGCCUGCCCGGUGCUGGAAGGUUAAGGGGAGAGGUUAGCGCAAGCGAAGCUUUGAACUUAAGCCCCAGUAAACGGCGGCCGUAACUAUAACGGUCCUAAGGUAGCGAAAUUCCUUGUCGGGUAAGUUCCGACCCGCACGAAAGGCGUAAUGAUUUGGGCACUGUCUCAACGAUACACCCGGUGAAAUUGAAAUACCAGUGAAGAUGCUGGUUACCUGCGCCAGGACGGAAAGACCCCAUGGAGCUUUACUCCA